GCUUCAGUAGUGCAGCAGGUUAGAGCACGCGCUCCCGGACAGAGUGAGAUGUGGGUUCGAGUCCCGCCUGACGCG